rnacentral:snRNA from 1 species
UUGCUUGGGCAGCACACACACUAAAAUUGGAACGAUACAGAGAAGAUAAACAUGCCCCCCAUGCAAGGAUGACAUGCAAAUUUGUGAAGCGUUCCAUAUUUAA